rnacentral:lncRNA from 1 species
AAAGGGUGGCUAUGCUGCUGAAGAACAAUCAGAAGUUCUAUGUUGCUUCUCUUUGUGUUGCUAUAUUUUCUCGUCAAGGGCAGCAUCUGUUUUGCUCUUGUUUGUGACAGGAAUUCUAUUACUCUGAAGUUUUGAUUGAAAUGGGUGGCUAUGCUGCUGAAGAACAAUCAGUAGUUCUAUGUUGCUUCUCUUUGUGUUAGCUAUAUUUUCU